rnacentral:misc_RNA from 1 species
GUUUACCUCAUCUGAGGGUGUGCCUGGAGGGUCCUCAAUCUUGUUUCUUUGGACAUAUUUCCCCUUUUCUUUUUUGGUUCCCAUUGAACUGUGCUGCUGGGGAAUUUUUGGUUUAGGAGUCCUUUUAUGCUCGCCUUCUAUUACCACUUUAGGUCGGUGCUUCUUCCUUCGUUUCUGCUGUGGUGUAUUAUUCUGUUCAGCAUCCUGAUCGACUACCUUGUCAAUCAUGUUAUCCGACAGUUCUGAUAUGUUCAAGACCAGCCCCGACUUCUCUGUGUUCUGUUGGAGAUCAUUUGCUUCUGCUCUCUUUAAUG